CAAUUGAUAUCUUAAUUAAAGAAUUGAUCUUUUAAAUCAAAAAUAAUAAUACUACUUUAUUUCAAUUGA
rnacentral:tRNA from 1 species